rnacentral:rRNA from 1 species
AUUCCCUAGUACGGCGAGUGAAGCGGGAAGAGCUCAAAUUUGAAAUCUGGCAGUCUUCGAUUGUCCGAGUUGUAAUCUAUAGAGGCGUUUUCCGUGCCGGACCGUGUCCAAGUCUCCUGGAAAGGAGUAUCAAAGAGGGUGAUAAUCCCGUACUUAACACG